rnacentral:lncRNA from 1 species
GGGCGCUCAUGAGCAAAAUUACACUAUGUAAAAAGGGAGAGUACAAUAAACCCUCUUAUAAUAAUGAGAGAACAAAAGACAAUAUUUUCUCUCACAAAUACUAUCUUAAAUGGAACAAGAAUUCUCACCAAAAUACAUUCACCUAAUAUGAAUAAGAGCUGAAUAAAAUAUCUGAAGUGCUCUCACUCUCUUAAGAGAAAAUGCCAACCAAUAAGGUGAUGUUACUGUGAUGUUGUGAGGCUGAAUUUGUAAUGCUGCAAUUGAUCUUGUGAUGCAUAAAGAUGCUCUCCAUGUGUGGCCUUUUAUAGGCAAAUUAUGUUGAAGAAGCAUUGAAGCUUGGGAAGCAAGCUUGGAGGCCUUGGUGAGCAAGUUUCCAAAGCUUAAUGAGCAAGCAUCCAAGGCUUGGGAAAGAAGCUUUAAUAAGCUAUUUAAGUUAUAAUGUGUCAAUUGCACGUCACUAAAACCAUUUUUUUAAUGUUAAGAACUCAGGUCAAUUUUUACUAGACAAACAAAAUUCACAAUUAAUUAAAAACUGAAAUAAAAUUUAAAUUAUAAUGGUAUUAACAUUAAAAGAUAAUUUAACAUAAACUGUCAAUGUUUCAUAAGUUAACUUUUUUUGAGCUAGCUAGUAAGUUAACCUUUUCAGCUGAAUAAGUUAGCUUUAAAACUAUUAUUUAUGAAAUGAUUGUAAUAUCCUACUCAUUGAGGUAUAAAUUCAAUAACUACUGGAAAUACGGCGGAAAAAAAAUCACCAGGAUUUGAAAGUCAUAUUAUGAAAUGAGUUUGACAUGAAAGAUUUUGGGGUUGCUAGAAAGAUUCUUGAGAUGAAAUUCAUAGGGACAAAUGAGCUAUAAAACUACGGUUCUCCCAUUAAAGCUAUAUUGAAAAGAUCUUAGACAUAUUUGGUAUGAACAAUGCUAAAGUAGUGAGCAUUCCAUUGGGAAAUCACUUCAAGUUUUCCCUAGAUCAAUGUCCAAAGACAAAUGAAGAGAAGAAAUAUAUGUCAAAGGUUUUAUAUGCUAAUGUAGUAGGUUGCUUGAUGUAUGUUAUGGUUUGCACUAGACCAAACUUGACACAACUAGUUAGCCAAGUGUACAAGUACAUGUCGAAACCAGGGAAUCAACAUUGGUAAGUAGUCAAAUGGAUUUUCAGAUGAUUGAAGGGGACUACAGGUCUCCGUAUCAUGUUUGGCAGCCAAAAGAGUAAACCUUCAUUUGUUGGUUAUGUUGAUUUGGAAUAUACAAGAGACUUGACUGAUAUAAGGUCCAUAACAAGGUUUGUCUUCAUCCUUGCAUACAGACUAAUAAUGUGGAGAUCAUUAGUUUAGUCUAUUGUUGAUAUGUCCACAACUAAAUCAGAGUACAUGACAGUUGGUGAAGAUUCUAAGGAAGCCAUGUGGCUUAUGGCACUCGUAAAUGAAUUAGGCAUUGAGCAAGGUGAAGUUUGCUGCAUUAUGAUAGUCAGAGUGCUAUCUUCUUGGCAAAGAACCAGGUAUACCAUGCUAGGACCGAUCAUAUUGAUGUGAGAUUUCACAAGAUCAGAGAAUUGGUAGCUUGUGGGUAGAUACUAUUGCAGAAGGUUUAUACUUCAAAAAAUACAGUUGAUAUGCUAACCAAGUUGAUUACCGUUGACAAGUUCAGACAUUGUCUGAGCUUUUUAACAUUUACUGAUGCUGGACUAUGGAGCAUCCUAAACCCAAUGACAAAAGAUGAAGAUUAAUGAUAUUCCCCAAGGUGGAGAUUCUUGUGCAAUGACUCAUAUUCCAAUUGAUAGAACCUUUUCUCCUAAUAACAACAAUAUAAGUUAUGGAUUUUGACUGAUAUAAAAAGGUUGGGGUUGAGGACGAUAUAUUUAUAUAUUAUGUAAACCUAAUGUAACAAGGAGGACAAUAGCUACAAAUAUAAAUUCUUAUUCUAUAAUACAUAGUGGUAGUCUUUCAACAUUUUGGAGGACGUAUGGAUAAUUGGUCCAAACCACAAAUAUAUUGUUAAUGGUUGUUGAAACCACAUGAGAAAAAAGUUGGGCAUCUCAAUCAGAAUAAAAUCUAAACUUAAAUUUAGUGGUGGGAAUGUUCAAACAAUUAAAGGAAAAAACAAUAUUGCCAUUAAAAUUCUAUUCGUGCUGGUCUAAGAGCAUAUUUAAUGGUGCAACUUUUUUAAAGUAGAAAAAUUAUUAAAUAAAAAUAAGAUCUUGAGAACAACACUAUCAAGUGGAUAAGAUUAACUCAAAAAAUAUAGAAGUGUUUUUUGUGGUCCUUUUAUGACUUCGAACUAAAAAAAAAUCUUGAAUGAUACAACUUUAUAUAACUCUAUCAAAAAUAAUUAUUAAAUAAAUUGAAUCAUUUAUGAAAUUUUGGGUCAAGUGAUAAAUAUAGUUCUUUCUAUCUCUCCCCACCUGUAUGCAAUUGUGGCCCCCAAUUUUCCACACAAAUAUAGCUAGAAUUGUUUUUGGAUGCUAAUCUUAUAAGUAACUUAUGUCCAACUAAGUUUACUCCACGAUAUAUUGUGUAAAGAAUCUUAAAAUUUAUUAAUUUGCCUUAGGAACAUAAUGCCGCUAUGCAGAAGCACAAAAUCAGAUCAAUUGAGAAUUAAAGAGAAGUAAGUAAAGAAAUAAGAAAAUAACAUAUAAGAUUUAACGUAGAAAAACCCCCUCAAUAUGAGAGGUAAAAAAACAUGGGCGCUCAUGAGCAAAAUUACACUAUGUAAAAAGGGAGAGUACAAUAAACCCUCUUAUAAUAAUGAGAGAACAAAAGACAAUAUUUUCUCUCACAAAUACUAUCUUAAAUGGAACAAGAAUUCUCACCAAAAUACAUUCACCUAAUAUGAAUAAGAGCUGAAUAAAAUAUCUGAAGUGCUCUCACUCUCUUAAGAGAAAAUGCCAACCAAUAAGGUGAUGUUACUGUGAUGUUG